rnacentral:rRNA from 1 species
UGGGGAAUAUUGCACAAUGGGCGCAAGCCUGAUGCAGCCAUGCCGCGUGUGUGAAGAAGGCCUUCGGGUUGUAAAGCACUUUCAGCGAGGAGGAAGGUGGUGAGCUUAAUACGCUCAUCAAUUGACGUUACUCGCAGAAGAAGCACCGGCUAACUCCGUGCCAGCAGCCGCGGUAAUACGGAGGGUGCAAGCGUUAAUCGGAAUUACUGGGCGUAAAGCGCACGCAGGCGGUUUGUUAAGUCAGAUGUGAAAUCCCCGGGCUCAACCUGGGAACUGCAUUUGAAACUGGCAAGCUAGAGUCUCGUAGAGGGGGGUAGAAUUCCAGGUGUAGCGGUGAAAUGCGUAGAGAUCUGGAGGAAUACCGGUGGCGAAGGCGGCCCCCCUGGACGAAGACUGACGCUCAGGUGCGAAAGCGUGGGGAGCAAACAGAUUAGAUACCCUGGUAGUCCACGCUGUAAAACGAUGUCGAUUUUGGAGGUUGUGCCCCUUGAGGCGUGGCUUCCGGAGCUAACGCGUUAAAUCGACCGCCUGGGGAGUACGGCCGCAAGGUUAAAACUUAAAUGAAUUGC